CUUCAAGAACAUCGAUUUUUAGGGUGAUGCUCCCAACUUUCCAUCCAUGAGCUCCCAGCACUCCUUUCUUGCCCUCUCCUAUGGCCACCGGGGUGCCCACAUAGCACCAGGCAAUCUUAAAAGUGCUUUUCCAAGUAAAACCCGAGCACCCGGCAGCCAAGAGCUUCCUCCGUGGCUUUUAAUCCUGGUGCAUGAUAAAAUUUGGGACGUGAAGCUGAUCAGCAUCGUUUCAUCUGCCAAAGCGUCUGCAGGACGGCGCAGGGGCGGUGGAGACCUGACUUGAAUUAUUUUGACACUUUCAGUCGUGCGCUAGGAAAAA